GCUAAUACCGCAUACGACCUGAGGGUGAAAGUGGGGGACCGCAAGGCCUCAUGCUAUAGGAGCGGCCGAUGUCUGAUUAGCUAGUUGGUGAGGUAAAGGCUCACCAAGGCGACGAUCAGUAGCUGGUCUGAGAGGACGAUCAGCCACACUGGGACUGAGACACGGCCCAGACUCCUACGGGAGGCAGCAGUGGGGAAUUUUGGACAAUGGGCGAAAGCCUGAUCCAGCAAUGCCGCGUGUGUGAAGAAGGCCUUCGGGUUGUAAAGCACUUUUGUCCG
rnacentral:rRNA from 1 species